CGGACGGGAGGUAGUGGCCCGAACUCCGUACAGGAAUGAUUCGCCUUUAACAGUGGUCGAAUUCACGGUCCACAAGGGGCAUGUUCUUGGGAAAGAAGUGACGAUACAGGACGCGUGUCACUGACUUUUUCUGGCUCCUCUUGCCUCUUCCGACGGCUGUCACAGAAUCCAAGUGUGACUAGGCCUUCG